rnacentral:rRNA from 1 species
UGAGCAAUCUGCCCUUCUCUUCGGAAUAAGCGUUGGAAACGACGUCUAAUGCCGAAUACGACCUCCUUUCGCAUGAUCGGAGGUGGAAAGCUCCGGCGGAGAAGGAUGAGCUCGCGGCCUAUCAGCUAGUUGGUGUGGGUAAUGGCCCACAAGGCGACGACGGGUAGCCGGCCUGGAGAGGGUGACCCGGCCACACUGGGACUGAGACACGGCCCAGACCUCCGUACGGGGAGGNGCAGGG